CGACGAUGCUACGUCUCUUCGAUCCUCGGUCCUCGGUCUUCGGUCUUUACGCUCGGCAUCGUGGUGCUCAUGGUGUGUGACCAUCACCCUUCAAAAGAAGAGCCCGAGUUCAUCACCAAUUACUGCCAGAGGAUUGAAACGACUGUACGC